rnacentral:rRNA from 1 species
AGUCGAGGGGUAUUAGUUUUCGGACUAAGAGACCGGCGCACGGGUGCGUAACGCGUAUGCAAUCUACCUUUUACAGAGGGAUAGCCCAGAGAAAUUUGGAUUAAUACCUCAUAGUAUAAUGACUCGGCAUCGAGAUAUUAUUAAAGUCACAACGGUAAAAGAUGAGCAUGCGUCCCAUUAGCUAGUUGGUAAGGUAACGGCUUACCAAGGCUACGAUGGGUAGGGGUCCUGAGAGGGAGAUCCCCCACACUGGUACUGAGACACGGACCAGACUCCUACGGGAGGCAGCAGUGAGGAAUAUUGGACAAUGGGCGCAAGCCUGAUCCAGCCAUGCCGCGUGCAGGAUGACGGUCCUAUGGAUUGUAAACUGCUUUUAUACGAGAAGAAACACUGCUUCGUGAAGCAGCUUGACGGUAUCGUAAGAAUAAGGAUCGGCUAACUCCGUGCCAGCAGCCGCGGUAAUACGGAGGAUCCAAGCGUUAUCCGGAAUCAUUGGGUUUAAAGGGUCCGUAGGCGGUUUAAUAAGUCAGUGGUGAAAGCCCAUCGCUCAACGGUGGAACGGCCAUUGAUACUGUUAAACUUGAAUUAUUAGGAAGUAACUAGAAUAUGUAGUGUAGCGGUGAAAUGCUUAGAGAUUACAUGGAAUACCAAUUGCGAAGGCAGGUUACUACUAAUGGAUUGACGCUGAUGGACGAAAGCGUGGGUAGCGAACAGGAUUAGAUACCCUGGUAGUCCACGCCGUAAACGAUGGAUACUAGCUGUUGGAAGCAAUUUCAGUGGCUAAGCGAAAGUGAUAAGUAUCCCACCUGGGGAGUACGUUCGCAA